NCAGCACAAGUAAUAUCCAACCUUGACCGCGGAUCUGGAGCAACCGCUGACGGAAGAGAAGAAAUGAACAAUGAACACAACAUAACACAAAAAUGCAAAAUAUACACGGACAUAAAGUUAAAGAAAUGAAUACGACUUAGCCAGCUUGGCUGCUGGACCGCCAUGCUUGCACAGUCGAACUACCUCGCUCACAUAGACCGCGGUUAGCUGCUUGCAUGAAUAAACAGAAUGGUUCCACCUCACAUAUAUUCGCCGUUGGUGCCUUUCAUCUGCGCCAGCCAAUCUCUUGGCAGUACAGCGGCGACCCACAGGCAGGAUCUGUACCUGUCUCAUUGUGCAUUGCCACUCAUUGCAGCAUCAAACUAACAAGUGUUAUCGUCUUUGUAAUAAUUACCUUACUCAGGAUCAAGAGUCUCUGGCUGUGCUAUAGUUGGCUCCAGCCCGACCCUACUCUCUAACCCCAUAGGCCAAAUCUCUAAAGAUGCUUAAGAGGUAAUAUCACAAUGGAAGCCAAUGAUGAUUUUGUGGGUGGAUUCGGGAUGCAGCCCACGCAGCCGUCGGACAAUAGGCGCAGGAUGCACGAGGUCCAGCUGCAGCUAUGAUGCAGCCAACGAAUGACAAGUGAGUGGCAUCAUCAGCCAUUGCACUGGUUCAUCAGAUGAGCGGUACAUUUUAAACGUGCCCAGCAACGUUUGCAGUGCUGCUGGUGAUAACAGGGUGUUUCCACUUGUCCUAACACUAUCUUCGGUACACUAUGUGCUAGUGUGGACUUAGUGUGACGGUGUUUCCACUAGCGGCACUAAGGAGCGCCGAAACCAAAAUUGUUUUCGUAUUUUGAACGUUUUAGCGCCAGGGAUUAAUUGCUGAUAAUUGCCAAGGUCUGUAAGAAUUCGCGUAUUUAAGAUCCGCUGCGGCGCAGCCUGCGUCAUGAUGUCCGCCAUGAAGUCCGCAUGGUGCAUUGGCAACCGCCGGCCAGCGAAG
rnacentral:lncRNA from 1 species